rnacentral:rRNA from 1 species
AUACGUAGGUGGCAAGCGUUGUCCGGAAUUAUUGGGCGUAAAGCGCGCGCAGGUGGUUCUUUAAGUCUGAUGUGAAAGCCCACGGCUCAACCGUGGAGGGUCAUUGGAAACUGGGGAACUUGAGUGCAGAAGAGGAAAGUGGAAUUCCAAGUGUAGCGGUGAAAUGCGUAGAGAUUUGGAGGAACACCAGUGGCGAAGGCGACUUUCUGGUCUGUAACUGACACGUGGGGCGCGAAAGCGUGGGGAGC